CCUACGGGUGGCAGCAGUGGGGAAUAUUGGACAAUGGGCGAAAGCCUGAUCCAGCCAUGCUGCGUGUGUGAAGAAGGCCUUCGGGUUGUAAAGCACUUUCAGUGGGGAAGAAAGCCUUGGGGCUAAUACCCUCGAGGAAGGACAUCACCCACAGAAGAAGCACCGGCUAACUCCGUGCCAGCAGCCGCGGUAAUACGGAGGGUGCGAGCGUUAAUCGGAAUUACUGGGCGUAAAGCGCGCGUAGGCGGUCUGAUAAGCCGGUUGUGAAAGCCCCGGGCUCAACCUGGGAACGGCAUCCGGAACUGUCAGGCUAGAGUGCAGGAGAGGAAGGUAGAAUUCCCGGUGUAGCGGUGAAAUGCGUAGAGAUCGGGAGGAAUACCAGUGGCGAAGGCGGCCUUCUGGACUGACACUGACGCUGAGGUGCGAAAGCGUGGGUAGCAAACAGGAUUAGAUACCCUAGUAGUC
rnacentral:rRNA from 1 species